UGGGUGGACCUAGAUGGGAUUGACUGGACAGCAUCAGCGCAACGAGCUUCAAAUUGGUGGAUGCUGGUUAUGAUGCACGGCGCCAUCGGUGGAUACGGGAAUACUGGAAGUCUGAAGCAAAUAUUUGACCACGAAAAUGGAAACUUGAACUCAAAUCCAUAACAGACCAUUCAUUCAUCAAGCUAUUUUUUUUCAACUUGAAUUCAGCCUACCACCAAUUGUUGAAUUGACAGGAAUGGACGCUCGAGAUUGAAUUUCAGCGAACCACAUUGGAAAGGAGUGGUUAACCUCACCUCUUCGAAGAAACCUGGUGUAAACUUCACGAUACGCAGAGAAAGUUAUUUGGGAUAUCUGGUUGGAUAUAACGUAGUACUGUGGACAUGGCGGAUGCUGCUGAGUGCGGUGUGAAAGUGAUGUGCCGAUUCAGGCCCUUCAACCAACAGAGACAAAUACAUUCCGAAAUUCAAGGGCGAAGAUACGGUGGUAAUAACGAGUAAGCUCUAUGUGUUUGACCGAGUCACCCAACACAGCCCAGGAGCAAGUCUACGAUGCCUGUGCCAAGCAGAUCGUCAAAGAUGGAACAAUCUUUGCCUAUGGCCAGACCUCAUCAGGAAAGAUCCACACCAUGGAGUAGGAGGACCCGCGCCUUAUGAAAGCUAAGAGGGUUA
rnacentral:lncRNA from 1 species